rnacentral:pre_miRNA from 2 species
UUUGAGGGGAAUGCUGUCUGGUUCAAGGAGAUGCAUGAGAUCACAUAUCACACUACUUUUCACUUCAUACACCAAACUAUUCUUCACAAAACUUCAUCAAAUUCACAUGUAAUAAUCAUCCUCGGACCAGGCUUCAUUCCUCUCAAU